UUACUGGCUCAGAGCUUCAGGAAAUUGCUCAAGGAUGUGCAAAUACUAAACAGUAGAGCUGGGAUUUAGAUCCACAUCUACUUAAUUUUAGUGCGUAUGCUCUAACUGCUGCCACAGAAGGGAUGCAGAGGAAGACGGAAAGUGCCUGCAAUAUGGUAAGUUCUUCAGUGAUAUUAAGCCAUUUAACCCAAGCCAGCAAUGGAGUUGAAGAAGGGGUGACUCCUGCAGAGCAUCUGACAAUCAGAGAAGAGUUAGAAUACAUUAAGCUCAGCAUCACAUAUGUAGUUUAAAUACAACUCCACCUGCUUCUCUUUCUUUCUCUUCUUUUCUGCCUUUGUUGCCCUACCCAGGAUUAAAACCUUAGGUCUUAUGUUAAAAGAAUGACAAGAGAACUGUAGCAUUCUCUGCCUCUUGGGCAUCUGCAAGAGAUGGGAUAUUAGAGGGACACUGGGGGAUGCUUGGAUGAUCACCUCCACCCCUCCACCCACUAUGGCCUCAACAUGAAGUUGGCCUUCUUGAAGUGGGUGAAUCACUACAGCCCUUGUUCAGGAAGUGUGUUUGAAACCAGGCUUUUAAGGAAGAGAGGAGACGACAUUUCUUGGGACCUUCCUGCCAACCUGACCCUUCUGGUUGGCACCACCCAGAGCUUCAUUACUUAGGCCUGAAGCCCAGCCAUUGUGAUAAGGCACCAUCAAUCAUCAUGUCCCUUUACCAGGAGGGCCCGUGUCAUAAGCCACUAUGUAAAGGGAAUGAUGGAUGGACUGCUUUGGACAAAUGGACCUGGGGUAGGAGAGAGGGACAACAGUAGGAGCAGGCAGAUCUUGCUGUUUCAACCAAAACCUCAUGCUGACCAGAGUUGAGGAACAGAAGAUGGUGAAGGCCUGCAGGUAUAGGUGUUCAGCAUGUCAUCUGAAAUAUUCCCCACAGAGGCAAAAAGAAAGGAAAUUAUCUCUGAAAAGGAAUGGGAAGACAAGUCAGCAGAAUAUGUCAAUGUUUUGGUUGAAGAAGCUGCUUGAAUCUGGGCUUUUCUGUGCCAUGUGUUCUCCCAUGGCCAGCACAAAGAAGGGCUUUUGGUGCAGGCCCAAGACCACCAUAAUCAUCAUUGAUUAUUCCUCUCCACGCCAGUGUCUCUAAAUAAACUUCCUCUUCUUUCUCUGGCAAA